rnacentral:lncRNA from 1 species
UUAUUAAUGGGGAGUAUUACUAAAUUGUAAGUUGCAAAUUAAUGGUUUAAGUCUGAGACUAAAUACACAGCUGUAUUCUUGUGUAAUGUUACAAGACAAAAUUAGAUCAAGUAUUUGAAACCAGAAGGGCCUCAUCCAAACCCAGUGGGUGUCUUCCAGGGACUUCAGUAGGCUUUUCCACCUGCAGUGAGGGUGCAGAGCUGUAACCCCAGCAGAGUCACUCAGAUGGGUGUGUGCCCUCCACAGUGGGCUGCUAACAUCUGACUGACAUUCCCAUGUCUUUGGAGCAAAAUAAUAAUAACAUUGCUUGUUUCCAUGGUGGUGGGGACGUGGUUGGGUUCAGCGUGUACCUCAUGGAAGCGAUGCUGGUGUGUGUGUGUGUAUCUGAGUUCCUGCAGGAUUAUGUAUUAAUUCUUAAAUGAAACAAUUUGGGAGCUGGGCUUGGCUCUGAUGCAAUUUGCCCUUGUGCUUUCCUUGGCUGUUGCUAAUAAGAAGUGCUGGCCUAAAUCAGCGUCUUGAAGAAUCAUCGAUUUGCUAAUUGCAGAUAAUCAAGUCCCUGCUCACGCUGAGACCACUUUUGUUCCCUGCCAUUCUGGCAGGAUUCAGGCAGCAUCUCCCGGCCUUUGACGUAACCAGCAAAGGGGCUUUGGAGCACUCACGUUGCUCAGUCUCAGAGGUGACCAAGUUAUUGGUAUUCAGGCUUGAUGAACGGGGAGCUGUGAUACCACUGACCUUUGUGGCCAGAAUGAGCUGGGGAGGGGAUGUUCAGAGGGCUGUGGUGGCACAGCUGUGCAGUGCUCAGCUCAGUUAGUGCCUCCUGGGGAGUGUCUGUCGACAUCAGCCUCCUGAAAUUGUUCUGAACAUUUGUGGUAGUUGUUCGUUAUUUUAUUUUUUUUUUAAAUGUGCUUCCUCCUCUGUGCUCAGCGAGGUGGGUGUUUCUGUGAGCUGUAGACUUUACAGAGUGUUUAAAAUGAAGCAGGGGCUGGUGACAAUUUGUGUCCCACAGUUGGCAGUCAGGAGAGUUGAGGACAGGAGACUCCUGCUCUGGUGGCUUCUCCCAAGCAGCCUGGCCUGUGGGUGCUCUGUGCUCUGUGUUCUCUCCGUGUCCACUUGAGCAGCCACCCUUUGCCCAUGGGGCCUUUCUCAUUCCCUGGCUGGAUCAAGCCUCACU